rnacentral:rRNA from 1 species
UACGUAGGGCGCAAGCGUUGUCCGGAAUUAUUGGGCGUAAAGAGCUCGUAGGCGGCCUGUUGCGUCCGCCGUGAAAUCCCGGGGCUCAACCCCGGGCCUGCAGUGGAUACGGGCUGGCUAGAGGCAGGCAGGGGAGAACGGAAUUCCUGGUGUAGCGGUGAAAUGCGCAGAUAUCAGGAGGAACACCGGUGGCGAAGGCGGUUCUCUGGGCCUGUACUGACGCUGAGGAGCGAAAGCGUGGGGAGCAAACAGG